ACAGUGCCUCAGCGACCAGGAGAGCGGUAGGGAGACCAGAGAGAGGGAUGAAACAAUAUGAUUGAGAAUCUGUCCUAAACCAUCAGAGUGGAGAUUAGUGAUGAAAGCAAUGGACAAAUGAGACCAGGGAUGCUGAGGCACUGGAAUGUGAAGGAGUUUUCCUGCUGGUGCGUGCCGGGGAGAUCUAGAUUGAGUAUAUAGUGAACAUGAGUUGACAUAGUGUGCAGAGUCCUGCUCCAAAGUGGGCCACCAGUAUUUCUCAGAAAGGGAUUGAUUGGUGGCAUCGCUGACCUGGGUGGACUGCUGGAUGGGCUGGGGUGCUGGCUCUGUAACGUCGACACAGGGAGUCGGGAAGCAGGGGAACUCAGUGAGUUUAAUAUGAACCCACAUAGACCGAUACAAAACAAGAGGAACCGUCUGACAAGGAAACAUAACCAAUACUGGCUGAUAACUGAUAACAAAAGAGUGCUAUAUAAAAGGGUAAGUAAUCAGGGAGUAAUGAAGUCCAGGUGUGACUGAUGAUGAGAUGCAGGUGUGCGUAAAGAUGAGUUACCAUUACCAGUGGUUAGUAAACCAGGAUGUUGGGCACCGGAGAGAGGGAGUAGACAUGACAGGUUAUGACAUUGUGACUGGUUGUGUUGAUGGCACACAUAAAAGGUCAUACAUUUUAAAAGUUAAAUGAUACAUAUUUUGGCUAUAGUACAAGGAAUAGCCACUCAGAUUGUAGAGGAGGCAGAGCGCGAAACUGGGCUUGCUGGGAGCAUUUGUGGCCACACUAUUAUAGGACGACUUGGGAGAAUGAUGAUCUGCAACAGCCAGCUCAUCUCAAUAUCAGAGGUAAAAAUGCAGCCAGACUGGUCUCCUACUGUGCCUUUCUAGACCUUUCUAAACAUUCAAAUCAUAGGGCUUUUGCACCAUUAUUUCAAUGACAUUUUCACUGCAUCCUAGAGUAGAAAUUUGUACUCCCUUGAAAACAAUAAUGCAAUUAUUCAUUGCAUUGUUGUGUUAUGUUGUAGGCUUGUCUAGGUAGGAUAAUUAUAUUGUCCCUGAACAAGAUUAAUAGGGGAGCAUUUUUAGUUGCGUGUCUCAUGUUUAAAUGUGUUUUUCAUGCCAUGAACCGGCCUCUCAGCUGCUUAUCAGCUAUUCCUAUUUGUUCUUGUGGAUUCAUAUUGAAAAUUGAUGCUGCUUGGAAUGCUUUUAUGCGUGGUAUGAUUGCUAGUUAGUCUACUGCAGACCUGGACAAACAAUCCACUAUUGUCUCUAUGAAUGGUGGAGAGGGCAGAAUAGAUAUUUAGACUGGCAGACUAUAUUGACCUGUAGUAUAGUAAAUGAAAGCGUAGUGCAUAAGGGAAGUACCAGAACACCUUGAUAUAGGGGAGGUGCAUGUAAAAAUAUUAGUACAUUUGUCUAUGAUGGAACAAAAUUAUAUAAUAAAACGUGCAAAAGACUGAAUGUAAACCAGUGAAAAAACGCACCACACUCCCCUCUGCCCAAUAAACAAAUACAACCCUCCCCAAAGUAAAAAAAUACAACCCUCCCCAAAGUAAAAAAAUACAACCCUCCCCAAAGUAAAAAAAUACAACCCUCCCCAAAGUAAAAAAAUACAACCCUCCCCAAAGUAAAAAAAUACAACCCUCCCCAAAUAAAAAAAAAUACAACCCUCCCCAAAGUAAAAAAAAUACAACCCUCCCCAAAGUAAAAAAAUACAACCCUCCCCAAAGUAAAAAAAUACAACCCUCCCCAAAGUAAAAACAUAAAGGUUUUACAACCCUCCAAUACUUUAGUCCCAAAUGUAGAUCUGCCCCUAACGGUACCUCAUGCCAUCUGUCCCUAACGGUACCUCAUGCCAUCUGUCCCUAACGGUACCUCAUGCCAUCUGUCCCUAACGGUACCUCAUGCCAUCUUCUCAUAUCUGUUGG
ensembl:lncRNA